CCGACCUGCUGUCGUUCCUGUCGCAUUGGUGCUUACUGCGGCUGAGGUUGAGGGAGAUGCUACUGAGGCAGGGGGUUGGCUAUUGAACUCUCGAAGCUUGAUGCUGAAGGAUCGCUCUUUGGACAAAAUGAUUCAACCACCUCUGCCUGACAAGCCUCUCGAUCUCAUCACGAAGCUGGUGGCAAUAUUCAAUAUCGUGACCGUGGUCAUGAUGGUAAAAGCAGUAUCUAUUCGGAUCCCGAUGGCACUCCAGCCUCGUUCUUAUCAGUCGAGGCUCAGAUAACUCAGGCCCCACUUAUAACAACACCUC
rnacentral:lncRNA from 1 species